UUCUCUUCUUGGGGACAUCCGAUAAAAUUGGAAUGAUACAGAGAAGAUUAGCGUGGCCCCUACGCAAGGAUGACACUCACAAAUCUAGAAAUGGUCCAAAUUUUU